UGAGUAACGCGUGAGUAACCUGCCUUUCAGAGGGGGAUAACGUUCUGAAAAGAACGCUAAUACCGCAUGAGACUACAGAGCUGCAUGGCUCAGUGGUCAAAGGAGCAAUCCGCUGAAAGAUGGACUCGCGUCCGAUUAGAUAGUAGGCGGGGUAACGGCCCACCUAGUCGACGAUCGGUAGCCGGACUGAGAGGUUGAACGGCCACACUGGGACUGAGACACGGCCCAGACUCCUACGGGAGGCAGCAUG
rnacentral:rRNA from 1 species